rnacentral:rRNA from 1 species
GACGAACGCUGGCGGCGUGCCUAAUACAUGCAAGUUGAGCGCUGAAGGUUGGUACUUGUACCCACUGGAUGAGCAGCGAACGGGUGAGUAACGCGUGGGGAAUCUGCCUUUGAGCGGGGGACAACAUUUGGAAAUGAAUGCUAAUACCGCAUAAAAACUUUAAACACAAGUUUUAAGUUUGAAAGAUGCAAUUGCAUCACUCAAAGAUGAUCCCGCGUUGUAUUAGCUAGUUGGUGAGGUAAAGGCUCACCAAGGCGAUGAUACAUAGCCGACCUGAGAGGGUGAUCGGCCACAUUGGGACUGGGACCCGGCCCAAACUCCUACGGGAGGCAGCAGUAGGGAAUCUUCGGCAAUGGACGAAAGUCUGACCGAGCAACGCCGCGUGAGUGAAGAAGGUUUUCGGAUCGUAAAACUCUGUUGGUAGAGAAGAACGUUGGUGAGAGUGGAAAGCUCAUCAAGUGACGGUAACUACCCAGAAAGGGACGGCUAACUACGUG